rnacentral:lncRNA from 1 species
UUUAAUAGGUUUGUUAGUGAUUCUUGUAUCUUUGAUCAUAACUUCCAUACCGCAAAAGGGAUAGGUUUUAGGUUUAAGAGACAUAUGGAGACAAGUUAGUGAGAAAACAUCCAUGUUUUCUUCUUGAUAGUAUUGAAGACCAUUAUUUCUUUGAUAUGUGUGAGAUUCUUUGAAGAGUGGAGCUUUAGUUUAAAGAAAUGCAGAGUCUUCGAAACUGUGAAUAUUGUUUCGUGGAAUGUCGAUGAAUCUUGAAGAAGAAAGAGACAAAAGCUCAAAGAAAAUGGGAUUGACAAGAGAGCUUGGAAAGAUGGUUUCUCUUCUUUAGCGGCUUAGCAAGU